rnacentral:sRNA from 1 species
AGGCAAAUUGGAAACAAAACACCUGUGUUACUCAUGCAGUGUGUACAAUGCUAGUGACCAGGUACUGCACAUUAUCUCUAUACUGCCCCAUUCAAUGUGUCUCAACCCUGCCCUUAAGGAACCAUCUUUAGAGGCAAAACGGGAGUUCAGUCUGCCUGAUGCAUUAUUUCUAUGCA